CUUUUGGAUUCACAGACUAAACAACGUUGGAACCAAGAGGUUUUGAACAUGGACGUAGCUUAGGAUUGCUUUUUAUAAUAUGAGAUAUCAACACCUUCUUUAUUUGAGUGUCUGGAAUAUUAUAUCAUCAUGGAGAUCCCUAACAUUAGGGACAGGGUUCUUAACAUUCUUUUUUAGCUAAUUGUAUAGGGAUUUAAAUUAUAAUUACUAAUAUAG